GUGCUUGCUUUGGCAGCAUAUAUACUAAAAUUGGAACCAUACAGAGAAGAUUAACAUGGCUCCUGAAAAAAAAGAAAAACAAGUAGGAUGAUAAUGGCACUCCUUAU
rnacentral:snRNA from 1 species